rnacentral:rRNA from 1 species
UAUUAUUUUGGAUGUGAAUAUGAUGGCUUGAGUAGUAGUAGAUAUGGUCUUGAAACUCAAAGAAUUUGGCGGUAUUUUAGUCUAUUUAGAGGAAUCUGUUUCGUGAUCGAUAAUCCGCGUUGGAUCUUACUUGAUUUGUUAUAGUAUGUAUAUCGCUGUUGAUAAAUGUCUUUUUAGAGUUAAUUUUUUUAAUAUUUUAUUAAAUGAUUAAUCAAGUCAAGGUGCAGCUUAUAAUUAAGUGGUAAUGGAUUACAUUGUUUUUGAAUAUACGAAUUGGUUGAUGUGAUAUUGAUAUGAAGGUGGAUUUAAUAGUAAUUUUGUGAAGAUUGUCAAAGUGAUUGUGGCUCUAGAAUAUGCACACAUCGCCCGUCGCUCUCAUUAUAAGUUGAG